UGCCAAUAGACUACUGGAAGCAUAUAAGAUGCUCUGGAAGUUCUUAGGGAACUUGAAGAAUCUUCGGGAUUCACAUGCAGCUGUAGCUGCUGGUUCCUCUGAAACAGUGGCUGGCGAGCCAUCUUCCGUGACAAGAAUAAUCUCCGAAUGUGAAACUGCACUUACACUCUUGAAUCGCGAUCUUGCGAUUCUUUCAGCUUCUAUUGCCCGUGAGCGAGGUGAA
rnacentral:misc_RNA from 1 species